UACGAGUGGUCCAAGCGUUAGUCGGAAUCACUGGGCUUAAAGGGUGCGUAGGCGGGCUUGUAAGUGCCUUGUGAAAUCCCAUGGCUCAACCAUGGAACUGCAGGGCAUCCUGCGAGUCUUGAGGAAUCUAGAGGCCGGCAGAACGAUAGGUGGAGCGGUGGAAUGCGUAGAUAUCUAUCGGAAUGCCAAAGGUGAAGACAGCCGGCUGGGGAUUUCCUGACGCUGAGGCACGAAAGCGUGGGGAUCAAACAGG
rnacentral:rRNA from 1 species